rnacentral:lncRNA from 1 species
GAACAGCAGCCAUAAGAGAAAAAGGCGGACUGAUGCUAUCUUAGCCGCGGGAGAGAAGGUAUCACUGUAAUCAAGCCCAAAUAUCUGAGUAUAUCCCUUUGCAACAAGACGAGCCUUAAGACGAUCAACCUUACCAUAUGGACCAACCUUGACUGCAUACACCUAACGACAACCAACAGUAGAUUUACCUGAAGGAAGAGGGACGAGCUCCCAAGUACCAAUUGUAUGUAAAGCAGACAUCUCGUCAGUCAUAGCCUGUCGCCACCCUGGAUGAGACAAUGCUUCACCUGUAGACUUAGGGAUGGAAACAGAUAGAAAAACAUAAUAGGGUGAUUACAGCCGUAUACCUUUCCGAAGUGCAAUCCGAAGAGACAAGUUCGCAGUAGGAGCAGGGUCAGGUGCAGGACGUGAAUCAACCGGGCCAGAUGCUGGGCGAGGACGUCCGAAGUGCAAUCGGAAGAGACAAGUCCGCAAUAGGAGCAGGGUCAGGUGCAGGACGUAAAUCAACCGGGGCGGAUGCUGGGCGAGGACGACGAUGAUAUGUCAAGAGUGGAGUGUCUUGUGCAGAGAGUCUAGGAGGAGCCACAGUAGACGUUCCAACGCUUGGAAUGGGUAAGACUUCUAUAGCGGAACUUGAAGGAGGAGAUAUAGUAGACUCCCUAAAGGCCGGUAUAGGUAAAAUCUCAGAUAUAUCAAGAUGGUCAGAAUGGUCAGAAUAGGUAAAGAAUGGUUUAGACUCAAAAAAUGUGACAUCGACUGACAUAAGGUACCUACGAAGAUCAGGUUAAUAACAACGAUAGCCCUUCUGAGCACGAGAAUAACCAAGGAAGAUACAUUUGAGAGCACGAGGAGCUAACUUAUCUUUCCCAGGAGCUAAGUUAUGAACGAAACAAGU